AUGCAUGUCUAAGUAUAAGCAAUUAUACAGCGAAACUGCGAAUGGCUCAUUAUAUAAGUUAUCGUUUAUUUGAUAGUACCUUACUACUUGGAUAACCGUGGUAAUUCUAGAGCUAAUACAUGCUAAAAAUCCCGACUUCGGAAGGGAUGUAUUUAUUAGAUUAAAAACCAAUGCCCUCUGGGCUCCUUGGUGAUUCAUAAUAACUUUUCGAAUCGCAUGGCCUUGCGCCGGCGAUGGUUCAUUCAAAUUUCUUCCCUAUCAACUUUCGAUGUUUGGGUAUUGGCCAAACAUGGUCGCAACGGGUAACGGAGGGUUAGGGCUCGACCCCGGAGAAGGAGCCUGAGAAACGGCUACUACAUCCAAGGAAGGCAGCAGGCGCGCAAAUUACCCAAUCCCGAUUCGGGGAGGUAGUGACAAUAAAUACUGAUACAGGGCUCUUUUGGGUCUUGUAAUUGGAAUGAGUACAAUUUAAAUCCCUUAACGAGGAACAAUUGGAGGGCAAGUCUGGUGCCAGCAGCCGCGGUAAUUCCAGCUCCAAUAGCGUAUAUUAAAGUUGUUGUGGUUAAAAAGCUCGUAGUUGAACCUUGGGCCUGGCUGGCCGGUCCGCCUCACCGCGUGUACUGGUCCGGCCGGGCCUUUCCCUCUGUGGAACCUCAUGCCCUUCACUGGGUGUGGCGGGGAAACAGGACUUUUACUUUGAAAAAAUUAGAGUGCUCCAGGCAGGCCUAUGCUCGAAUACAUUAGCAUGGAAUAAUGAAAUAGGACGUGUGGUUCUAUUUUGUUGGUUUCUAGGACCGCCGUAAUGAUUAAUAGGGACAGUCGGGGGCAUCAGUAUUCAAUUGUCAGAGGUGAAAUUCUUGGAUUUAUUGAAGACUAACUACUGCGAAAGCAUUUGCCAAGGAUGUUUUCAUUAAUCAGGAACGAAAGUUAGGGGAUCGAAGACGAUCAGAUACCGUCGUAGUCUUAACCAUAAACUAUG
rnacentral:rRNA from 1 species